rnacentral:rRNA from 1 species
AUUGAACGCUGGCGGCAUGCCUUACACAUGCAAGUCGAACGGUAACGGGCCUUCGGGUGCCGCCGAGUGGCGAACGGGUGCGUAAUACAUCGGAACGUGCCCGAUCGUGGGGGAUAACGAGGCGAAAGCUUUGCUAAUACCGCAUACGAUCUACGGAUGACAGCAGGGGACCGCAAGGCCUUGCGCGGACGGAGCGGCCGAUGGCAGAUUAGGUAGUUGGUGGGAUAAAAGCUUACCAAGCCGACGAUCUGUAGCUGGUCUGAGAGGAUGAUCAGCCACACUGGGACUGAGACACGGCCCAGACUCCUACGGGAGGCAGCAGUGGGGAAUUUUGGACAAUGGGCGCAAGCCUGAUCCAGCCAUGCCGCGUGCAGGAUGAAGGCCUUCGGGUUGUAAACUGCUUUUGUACGGAACGAAAAGCCUUCUUUUAAUACAGGAGGGUCAUGACGGUACCGUAAGAAUAAGCACCGGCUAACUACGUG